rnacentral:pre_miRNA from 1 species
UUAUACCCUGUCGAACAAUAGCAGUUCGACAGGUACCCUAUCGAAUUGUGGUUGUUCGAUAUGUACCCCUGUCGAACUAUGGAUGUUCGACAGGGCA